AGUGAACGCUGGCGGUAGGCCUAACACAUGCCAGUCGAACGGCAGCACAGUAAGAGCUUGCUCUUACGGGUGGCGAGUGGCGGACGGGUGAGGAAUACAUCGGAAUCUACUUUUUCGUGGGGGAUAACGUAGGGAAACUUACGCUAAUACCGCAUACGACCUACGGGUGAAAGCAGGGGAUCUUCGGACCUUGCGCGAUUGAAUGAGCCGAUGUCGGAUUAGCUAGUUGGCGGGGUAAAGGCCCACCACGGCGACGAUCCGUAGCUGGUCUGAGAGGAUGAUCAGCCACACUGGAACUGAGACACGGUCCAGACUCCUACGGGAGGCAGCAGUGGGGAAUAUUGGACAAUGGGCGCAAGCCUGAUCCAGCCAUACCGCGUGGGUGAAGAAGGCCUUCGGGUUGUAAAGCCCUUUUGUUGGGAAAGAAAAGCAGCAGGUUAAUACCCCGCUGUUCUGACGGUACCCAAAGAAUAAGCACCGGCUAACUUCGUG
rnacentral:rRNA from 1 species